GUUAUGAGAGUUAUCUAUGAUUCAUCUGUGCUACAUUUGUUUUGUAUACAUAGUGUUGGGCGGCAAUGACAGAGAAUCAAAAUAAUGUUUUUUCUACAUUUUCUCAGUUAUUGUGAUACAGCCGAAUUGUGUACAAUCAAUGAAUGUAUAGAAAAAGGAUAUUCAUAGCAGCGGAUGGCGUCACAGCAGGCUGAGAAGGUCAGCUCAAAUGCUGAUGGAAGUGACUCCUUUAAACGACAAGGAUCAUUCAGGAAGGUGCUACCAUCAGAUCCUAGUGCAGAUUCUCAACUCAGCAUGUCAGCAAAAAUGAUCGACAGGCCUAUUAUAAACAGUGGCAAUCAAAAGGUGUACAGUCAGUUUCAACAGGAGUACUGCAUUAUAUCUGAAUACAACAUGCUAAGAAAACAAGAUUUGCCUGGUGUUUACGUCAUUCCAUCUGCUCGGAGCUCACUCUUGUGGUUUGGGGUCCUGUUCGUCAGGCAGGGGAUGUACCAGGGUGGAGUAUUUAGAUUCACAUUACAUCUUCCAGAGACCUUCCCAGAUGGUGGUUUUCCUAGAAUUGUGUUCCAGUCCAAGAUAUUCCAUCCAAUGAUCAGCAGUGAGACAGGUGAAAUAGACGUCAGAAGUGGAUUCACAGAAUGGUGUAAAAAUGUAAAUCACAUAUGGCAGGUACUUCAGCACACCUGGCGAGCUUUCUACAAGGUGGAAACUAAAAUGCCAUUAAAUGUAGAAGCAUCUGAACUUUACUCAAAAAAUCCAACUGCUUUUCAAGAAAGAGUUCAGGAAUGUGUGAAAGAAAGCCAGGCACAUGUUUAUGACCCACCGCCGACAGAUGAUUUGCAUUACAUUUGCUUUGAGCCAUAUGAUCAUGAAGUGCAUGGACCAGUCCGGGAAUCCAUCAUUAGAAUGAAGGAGAAUAACAAUGAGAAUCGGUCUGGUGGACUGUCAUGGGUGCAGCCAGGUUCGCUUCAGCCUUUUUCGAAGCCAGAUUCUUGAUAUUUGUAUGAAAUAGAUACUUCUGAAAACUCAGAAUCUAAAAUGUUUUAUAGUUUAACUGCAGUCAAUUUGAAAACUACAAGACUCCAUCUUCAGGCACAAGAAUACAAUAGUAUUAAUUUUUUGCCAUGAAAGUUACAGCAGUGGAUGCCUACAGGAAGGAGAACAGCCUUUUAUUUUGACCCUCUACUAUCAGCAUCCUACUACUUAAAACUAAGCUAUUACUGGAAAUUCGCAGAGACAGAAGAUGGAAAGGAUUUAUUGAAUAAAAUUUUUUCAUACACAUUUUUAUUUUCUGGGCUUGUUUAAGCAGGUUGGUUCCAGAUAAUUGUGGCUGAAGCGGCGUCAUUAAUUUAGAAAUGUUCUUGUCAUGUGCAUGGGGAUCUAUGGCAGAUGGCUGGAUCUUACAACUCACCACAUUCAAAACAUCUGCUUCAUCUGGGAGAAGGUCCCACUUCUGCCUAUUAGUCUUGCAGUGCAGCACUCACACCCACAUUCUUUUAGUCCACCAAGCGGCCCGCUGCCAGGGUAGGGUCUUCUAUUGGAAUGUUGUCUGGGUAGUCCAGUUAUGGCCUCCAUCUUUCCACUAAGUGCUUCCGGUAGACACUGUUUUAUAUGCAUUAAGUUUUUUCUGGAAUGCAGGCAUCACCCAGUGGGCUGCAAUUCAUGGACUGUUUGACAGGAAUAUGUUUCCACCUGCAUCCUCUCCAAAUCUGAUGCAGUGUCCCAGCCCACAUAGGGAGGAAGGAGGGGUGAGGAAUGCUGUGCCCAUGAGUGGCUUGAGUUUCUGUACUGGUGUUAUGUGCAGGCCUCAGUUGUAAUCCACACUGACUUGUUCACCACAGUGUCUACUCUCUUUGCAUGUGCACGAGCAGCAUGCUCAGCAGUAGAUACACAGAAUGUUGUAACUGACAUCCGCAAAAAUUGUAGGUUGGUACUCUGAUCCUGCUUGUCAGGGACAUAUUGUUCCUGCCAUAGACCUUGGCUCUGGUACUGAUGGAAUGUUGUUUAAACAGUGUGCAAUCCAAGAUCAGAGAUCCAAGAUUAGGCUGUGAAUAGCACUGGAGUUGUUUGUCUUGUCACAUCACAUUUAGUUCUUGCCAUGCUUUUCUGUUAUUUAGAUGAAACGUGCAGACCAACUUUUUGCUGAGGUUUCAUUCCAGGUGGUUAAGAAUGUAAUAAAGCUUCAAGUUUGUCCAUUUCUCUUUUACUUCUGAGGAACUUGCUGUAUUGUCAGUGUAUUUGGACUGCCUGAUGUGAUUUAUUAUUGACUGGUAUUUUGUGUGAACAUUUUAUAGUAUUGGUGGCAAGAUGUUUACCUGUGGUAAGCCAUUCUUCUGAUUCCUCCUCCUAUUUUUCUUCCCACAGAGGCUGACAUAAAAUGCCCUACUAUGCAGUAUCAAUCGAGGAUGUCGGAUGGUGAUUGCUUGUAAACUCAUAUAGCAUAAUCUGCAGCUUUUGGUUGCUGAUAGUGUCAUAAGCAGCUGUCAGGAUGAUGGUCGCUCCAGCAAACUUCUCUCAUUCAAAUCAUUCCUUGAUGAGUUGCGUCAUGUGUAAUAGAUGGUCAGUACAUGAUUUCCCAGGGCAGAAGGGUGCUUGCUGGUUUAUAAAUUUCUCUUCUGUGAUAUUUGUGAUCAUAUGCAGUAUCAAGCAUAGAAUCUUGAAGGCAGAGCAGUGACAAGUGCAUAGCAGAGCAGUGACAAGAUUGGAAACUGGAUGGUUUGGUUCCUUUCAUGGUUUCCAUAGGGUGACCAUCCCAGUCUCCCUCCACGUCAUCAGAAGCUGCAAAUUGGCAGCACAGGCAUCCAUUCAGGCAUCCAUUAUAUCCUGGAGUCAUUUGGGAUUUUCAGCCCAUAGUCCUCAGUUUGUUUGACCUGCAGUUUGAAAACAUCAGCUGCUCUGUUCAACUUCAUGCAACAGAUUGCCAACUCCAGCUCAGCCAUGCUAAACAUAUUUUCAAGAAAAUGUUUACUUUGCAGUUCCUAUGCUAUAUUCUCUUGAGUCCUGUUAACAUUAGUUUUGCUGUCCUGCAGCAGCUGGCUUGCCACUGGGUUUGCAGUCACUUUAGUGAAGAUGGUUUUUGGAUUGUGGAAAAUCAGCUAAAGUUCUUGAACAGCUUCCAACCUCACAUUUCUUCAUUUCCAUAUCAAGAUUUCAACCAGGUUGCUCCACUUUGUCUUUUGGCUUUCAACAAUGGCUUGCAUCAUUAACUCAUCGGUUGUAUGGUAUUUUCAGCAAAUGGGUUAUUCUUGUAGAUAUCUUGGAGUUUCUUCAAUAGAUCUGGAAGUCUCCAGCAGUCCUGCAUUAUAUUCUGUCAUAUGAAUAUGAAAGUGACUGAUGUAGAAAACUGUUUUAUGUAUAUUCUGUCCUGUGGUAUCCAGUCCUUGAACCUCGCUUGGUUAGGUCGUUGAAGUUUUCAUUUUCCUCGGGCUUUGGCAGUGCACUCCAUAUCUCAGUUUUCACAUCUUUCCUGAAGUGUUUCUAGUUGGCUGUUUAAAAAGUGAACCACCACAUCUCAAAAGGUACAUAGUGUGACUUCAUCAGUGCUGAAAACGCACAUGAUAUGUCUGUGCUUUGUGUGUGUGUGGGGGGGGGAUCAUUUCACCCAUUUCUCACAUUGGGUUAUGAUACCAAAGGAGACAAAGAAGUUUUCGAGAUUGUAUCCUCUUCCCCAACUACCAUAUUUCAAAGAAGAUGGUAGUUUGCUGUCGUGGGUCAGUUGAACAUUGUAUGCCUCUCCUCACACCUCAAGUACAGCUCCAUUUUUGUCGCUCUUCUGGUAACCUUGUUAGUUAAAACUCCCAGUACAAAGAUAAUAUAAAUAAAUAUUAAGAGACUAUCUAGUAAUGAGGAAAUUUUAAUAUCUGACAUGCAAGAAAUAUGAAUGCAGUACCCUGAAAGUGCAGGAAACCCAACUGAAGUGCUGAACCCACAUUGGUGGCAUGGGGCUUGGAAAUCAUCUUAGAGAGACCAAAAUGCUGAUUCCAUUAUUAUAUAAAGUAUUUAAGUCUAUUAGAAAGUAUUUAAACCUCCAGUUCACAAGUGUAUCAUAAAAAUUAAAAGUUUAUCUUGGGUCAACAAGCACUAUUUGGGCCUAUGUUGAGAAUUUUAAUGACACAGAAUGACUGGGGCCCUAUAAUAUGAAACUGACUGUAUAGUGAAUGUUUUGCCGAUACAAGUGUAACUCAGUUCCAAAGAGCGCUCACUGUUAAAACAAAGAGUAAGCACUGGUUCUAGUGUCAUGCAGCAAUUACUGAUAAAAUGAAAUAAAACCACACACUGCAUUCAAAUAGAAAUAAAAUAACUGUUUCAAUUUAUCUAGUUUGUAAAGAAAAUGAGAAACUAUGAACAACAGUCAACAGCUAUUCGUCAAAGGAUAAUACAAAUACUGUGUCAUUUGGUAAUUCCUUGAUAACUGUAUUUUAUAGGGAAUCUUUUAAUAUUAAUUGGAGUAGACCUGACAUGCAAAAAUAUAAAUAUUUCAGUGAGGAAUGAAUGCAAAAAGGCAACUGAUGGAUACAGUUCAUAUCUUUUUCACGUUUUGGGCACACUAACUGUAAAUUGGAACUCCAUGCUGUUAGGUGACUGUACUGUGUCUCCACCUCUUUUGCUCCCCAGAUACUUCUUUACUCGAAGCUGGGUGGCAACUCCUGUACUGUAGUGUGAUCCUCGCCACACCUGCUAUUGACAUCUGUCAGCCUCUGUCUCACACACACACACACACACACACACACACACACACACACACACCGAUAGAGAGAGGGGGGAGGGAGGGAGGUAGAGGGAGGGGGGGGGGGGGGGGGAGAGAGAGUAUUUAGACAAAAUUAGAGUGUAUCUAAUUGCUUUAUUUGUCACAGUUCUGUGCCUUACUAUUAAUACGGCUGACAGUUAUUGCAAAGAAUUAUUGUCCAAAUUAUUAGACUAAUACUGUGUAUGUUAGUUCUAAUCCUGUGAGUAUAAAAACAGUAUGUUUCAAAAAUUUGAAACAAAUAACCUUUGAAAUAAAUUUUGCUUCAUGAAGCUAUAACAUAGCUAAUCAUUUAGUUUAUCCAGCCACAAAUGAUGUUUGAUAUGUCAUCUUAAAAUAAAGAGAUACGCUAUUAAGAAGUUAAUUAACUCAUCCUGAAUGGCCGCAAUCUGCAUGGCCUGCUGCUCACAAUGCAGCUCCAAUGACUAAGCCCAAUAUCAGACCAAGUUGUUGUAUUUUUGCUCUGUAAUAUUUGAACAGGAAAGUGGUCUGUGGAUUCAUGCUGGCAGGCAGUAUGAUACCUCUUUUAAAACUAACAUGGAGAGAUCCCCAGUGGUGUUGUUGACUUUUUGAAACUAUCUACACUGGAGCCAUUCACCCUGAUGGGCUCUUGUUUCCAAGUAAUUGACGGGAAAAGAUUUCAGAAUCCAGAUUAAAUCUUGGUUCAUAUGUUUUUAAUUAAUUUUAUGUAUUAAUUUCGGUUUAAUUUUUUUGUUUUAUCACCCUGUUUUUUUAUCUACAUUAUUGCCUCAUUGUAUUUGUUUAUUUUGCUUGAAUUUCGCUUUACUUAUAAACCUGUCUUUCAUUUAAGUUUUCAUCUGCGUUAUUUUUUCUAUAGCGCAGUUGGCUUUUAAGUUAUGUUUCAAAUGUUUAUCUUUUGUUUUUUGAAUAAUAGAUUGUAACUUUCAAAUAAUUGAAUAUUUUAACAGAUAAAUAUAAUUCAUAUUCACAUAAAUGCCAAUUGGAAAAAGAAUGAUAUAAAGAAAAAAUGAAACAAAUGUAAAAGUUAAUACAGUGAUUAAAAUGACAUGACAAUGGAAUGGAAAUAAAAAAUUACAUUUAAACCAAUUAAUUGAAUAAAAAUAAUGA